ensembl:lncRNA
UGAAAGUGCAGGUGGAAGAGAGAGGUGAGUAGCUUGAAUAAAGCCAUAUCAAUUCAUUAACGGAUUCCACACAAAGACAAACACAGAGCGGACCCGACGCAUCAGAAUCAGCUUUGUCUUUCUCGGCUUUCUCACCCCACGGCCCGAACACGGACACGCUGUCGGAGCUUAGCGAUUCUGAUGCGUCGGGUCCGCGCUGUGUUUCCAGCAGCAAAAGAAGCAGCAAACUACGCUUCACAUUUGAUCAAUGUCGUCAUCAAUUCCCUCUGACUUUUGCUGUUUUGCUUCCACCACGAUAAAAAUCACACUUCAUGCACAGCUCCCUCUCUCUCUCUCUCUCUCUCUCUCUCUGUACUUCAAGAACAGCUUCCUGUCUCAAAUCUCUGUUUUCUGCAUUAUCCAUUCGCUUAUUACCCACCAGUCUACCGUUGUUUACAGCGCUGUCAGCCGCAGUCUUUUUCUUUUCUUUUUCUUUUUUUCACUUAAAUGAUCUCGGACAAGAAAGCCUAAUUUCUGCUGUUCAAUACUGAAGAAAUUUAAACUUCUUAAAAUUAUGCAAAAUUGCAGAAUAUUGCAGAAUAUUUUUAAGGUUAUCUGCUAUAAAACGCCAGACCAGGAAAAUCUCCUUCAUGUUUUUCUGUGUUUUAUUCUCAGUUACUUUGACACAAAGGCAUCUGCUGUGAUGUUCACAAUUCUGAUGAAGUCUCAUGUGUAUCAGUACUGAUAAAUGAUCAGAAUUAUAAUAUUUCUGACUGUCUGAGGCUAAACUGAAUCGAAUCAGGACUUUGAGUACAGAAUCGAAUGGAUUAUAGAAAUCAGUGAUGAUACCCAGCCCUAGUGAGCAGCCUAGGCCCGACAGAAAUGGAUGUAGCUGUGGGUAAUAAGAAAAGAUGAAAAGAACUAUUGAUAACUUUUGUGUUAAGGCCUGAUCUGUCUGAAAUUCAUAGCCAGCUCUGACACGGUGCCAUCAAUCUUUGAAUGCUGAAAAACCACAGUGUAUCCAGAAAACACAUUAUAUGCUUCAAUAAAUGCACUGCCCAAGUGUCCCCUCUCCCCACUGCCUUUCAGCAGCAGGCAGCAGCAAACAGGUCGUCAGAGGAGCCAAGAUGAUGAUUAAGUUUAACAUUUUCUACAAUAUUGACAAAGCAAUUUAAGCACAAGUUUGUUAGUUAAUAAUUUAGAAAUGAAUAUUGUCUGUAUGGACUUCCCCCCCAAAGAAAGUGCACAUGUAAAACUGCGGUGUUAAGCGAUGCGGUUGAAAAAUUUGAGUGCGCCUAACUUUUGUGCCGGUACGCCUAAAUUUUUAAAGUUAGGCGUACCGGUGCGCCCAUGUCAAAAAGUUAGUCUAGAGCCCUGUAUUUAUGAGGCCGUCUACAGGGUCAGAUCAGAAAUGAAGUCAGAUUACAGUUUUUCUCGAUUGCUUAAACACUAUAACCAGGCCUCUAAACUAAAAUUUCAAAACCAUAAACGCUAUUGGUCAAAAAGCUCACCCAUUUCCCUGAACUAUAAACACUAUUCCCUGCUUUGACACAUGACUCAAAUUUGGUGAACUGGUACUGCAAAACUCUACACACAAAUCCCUACAUUUUACAGUGCUUACACCAUAUAGUCAUGUAGAAAGCACUAGCAUGCAAUAAUGUUAACUUAAGUCAGCAUAGCUUGAGCCCAAUUAGCACACAAUUAACCAGGUGGAAACACUAGGAGUCAAAAUUUAGCACACACCAAUCAGAACCUGCGAUGGAUAGAUAAAAGGGCCAAAGUCAGCUCAUUCAGGUUUGAAACAAUGGAUCCAAAGAGAUGCAAAGGAAGAGGACGUGGUGGAGAAAGAGGACGUGGUGAAAGAGGAGGACGUGGUGGAGAAAGAGGACGUGGUGAAGGAGGAGGACGUGGUGGAGAAAGAGGACAUGGUGAAAGAGGAGGACGUGGUGGAAGAGGAGGAGGAGGUGGUGAAGGAGGUGGAGGUGGAGAACGACGGCGACAAGGAA